rnacentral:rRNA from 1 species
GACGAACGCUGGCGGCGUGCCUAACACAUGCAAGUCGAGCGGAGUCGAUCGACGGAAGCCUUCGGGCGGAAGAUGGUUGACUUAGCGGCGGAUGGGUGAGUAACGCGUGGGCAACCUGCCUCGAAGACCGGGAUAACAGCCCGAAAGGGCUGCUAAUACCGGAUGUGGUCAAGGAUCCGCAUGGAUUUUUGAUUAAAGGGGAAACCCGUUUCGAGAUGGGCCCGCGUCCUAUCAGCUAGUUGGUGAGGUAAAAGCUCACCAAGGCGACGACGGGUAGCCGGCCUGAGAGGGUGACCGGCCACACUGGAACUGAGACACGGUCCAGACUCCUACGGGGGGCAGCAGUGGGGAAUCUUCCACAAUGGGCGAAAGCCUGAUGGAGCGACGCCGCGUGAGCGAAAGAAGGCCUCGGUUGUUAAGUACGUACUGUCUGUAGGGACGGAAGGGAAAGGACGGACGGACCGUCCGGACGGAAGGACCGACCGGACGAACUAACCGUAGCCACGCACGCCGCGGUAACGUAAGUAACGUACUACUA